ACUCCUACGGGAGGCAGCAGUGGGGAAUCUUAGACAAUGGGGGAAACCCUGAUCUAGCCAUGCCGCGUGAGCGAUGAAGGCCCUAGGGUUGUAAAGCUCUUUCGCCUGGGAAGAUAAUGACGGUACCAGGUAAAGAAGCCCCGGCUAACUCCGUGCCAGCAGCCGCGGUAAUACGGAGGGGGCUAGCGUUGUUCGGAAUUACUGGGCGUAAAGCGCACGUAGGCGGGCUGGAAAGUUGGGGGUGAAAUCCCGGGGCUCAACCCCGGAACUGCCUUCAAAACUACCAGUCUGGAGUCCGAGAGAGGUGAGUGGAAUUCCGAGUGUAGAGGUGAAAUUCGUAGAUAUUCGGAGGAACACCAGUGGCGAAGGCGGCUCACUGGCUCGGUACUGACGCUGAGGUGCGAAAGCGUGGGGAGCAAACAGGAUUAGAAACCCGGGUAGUCC
rnacentral:rRNA from 1 species